rnacentral:rRNA from 1 species
AACGAACGCUGGCGGCAUGCCUAACACAUGCAAGUCGAACGAGACCUUCGGGUCUAGUGGCGCACGGGUGCGUAACGCGUGGGAACCUGCCCUUAGGUUCGGAAUAACUCCCCGAAAGGGGUGCUAAUACCGGAUAAUUUCUUCGGACCAAAGAUUUAUCGCCUUUGGAUGGGCCCGCGUUGGAUUAGCUAGUUGGUAGGGUAAAAGCCUACCAAGGCGACGAUCAAUAGCUGGUCUGAGAGGAUGAUCAGCCACACUGGGACUGAGACACGGCCCAGACUCCUACGGGAGGCAGCAGUGGGGAAUAUUGGACAAUGGGCGAAAGCCUGAUCCAGCAAUGCCGCGUGAGUGAUGAAGGCCUUAGGGUUGUAAAGCUCUUUUACCCGGGAUGAUAAUGACAGUACCGGGAGAAUAAGCGCCGGCUAACUCCGUG